rnacentral:rRNA from 1 species
CAGUAGCCACGGUAAUACGGAGGGGGCUAGCGUUGUUCGGAAUUACUGGGCGUAAAGCGCACGUAGGCGGCUUGGUAAGUUGGAGGUGAAAGCCUGGAGCUCAACUCCAGAAUUGCCUUUAAGACUGCCGAGCUAGCAGGUGAGAGAGGUAAGUGGAAUUCCGAGUGUAGAGGUGAAAUUCGUAGAUAUUCGGAAGAACACCAGUGGCGAUGGCGGCUUACUGGCCCAUACUGGACGCUGAGGUGCGAAAGCGUGGGGAGCAAACAGGAUUAGAUACCCGUGUAGUCCCUGUCUCUUAUAC